UUCUAUUAGAAUAUUCAUUAAUAGUAAAAUCUGCUCAAUGAAUAUUAAAUAGCCGCAAUUUCGUGCUAAGGUAGCAUAAUCAUUUGUCUUUUAAAUGAAGACUAGAACAAAAGAUUUAACAUUUUAGCUUAUUUCUUUUUUAAUAUAUUAAAUUUAUCUUAAAAGUAAAAAGACUUUUAUUUAUUAGAAAGACGACAAGACCCUAUUGAACUUUACUUAAGUUUUACUGGGGCAGUAAAUUAAUUAUAAUUUUAAUUUAAAUAAAUAUUUAUUAAUCCAAAUAAUUGAUAAUUCAGUUACCAUAGGGAUAACAGCAUAAUUAAUUUUAAAAGAACUUAUUAAAAAAAUAGAUUGUGACCUCGAUGUUGAAUUAAUAACCUAAUUGAAGCAAAAGUUAAAUAAGGAAGUCUGUUCGACUUUUAAAAAAUU
rnacentral:rRNA from 1 species